GCGGCGGGAGCGGAGCGGGAUUCCUCAACCACGGGUGGUUGCCGUGAUAGGAAGCCAAGGGGGAAAACUUGUUCUACCCAAGUACCGGUCUGCUCCAUCCACAGAAAAAAAAUGUGUUGCUGCUGGAGCGAGUCCAGAGAAGGCAAAGGAGAGGGUCCAAGAAUCGGAGCUCCUCUGCUCUGGAGACAGGCUGAGAGGUUGUUCAGCCUAGAGACAGCAAGGCUCCAGGGAAACCUUAGAGCCCCCUCCAGUGCCGGCGAGGGACUUGGACAAGCGCAUGGAGUGACAGAACAAGAAUGCCUUUAAAUUUAAAGAGAGAACAUUUAUAUUAGAUAUUAGGAAGAAGUUCUUUCCUGUGGCAGUGAUGAGGCCCUGACACACAUUAUCCAGAGAAGCUGUGGCUGCCCCAUCCUUGGAAGUGUCCCAGACUCACCAGGUUGGAUGGGGCUUGGAGCAACCUGGUCUAGUGGAAGGUGUCUGCCUAUGGCAGGGGGUUGGAAGUAGAUGGCAUCUGAGGCCCUUCUAACCCCAGCCAUUCUGCAAUUGUCCUUGUUCUAAGGCUGAAAGAAUCAGAGAUGCCCAUAGUGGUAGUUCUUAGGAAGCAGAUGCUAUCCACCCAUGGUCUCCAUCUGAGCUGUUACAUAAAACAACCCAUCCCAACAUUAGGAAAAACACCACUGGACCCAGAUCUAACUAUGUGCCUUGGCAAUCCAUUCACAUCAUGACUCCUCCACUGUUGUGGUUGCUACCAAUCCAAUUUGGGAGGUCACAGAAAAUUCAGGAUUUUAGCAGAAAUCCAAGGUAAAAACAGCACACUGCCCUUCAGCAGCCAGCACAGAGCUGAGGGGCAACAGGAGCUGUUCAGAGGCAAUGGCAAUGCAUUCCUUACAAAGACUGCUGACCAAGUGUUUUCCGUGGGAAUUCUGAAGAGUCCCUGCAAUGUGCACUGCCCACAAGAUAAUGUGUUCAUUUCAGGUGAAGCUUUAAUUCCCUUUUAUCAAAUGGCUAAGAUAUUUUUUUAAAGAAAGUAACAUAAAGGAUGUGUUUCAAGUAGGGGGGUGAAGCAGGAUGAUUAACAAAAGAUAUUUUAUUAAAGCUGUGAAUCAUAAGCCACCUUAUCACUGCAAGCAGUUUUGCUCCCAACUUUAACUUUUUAACAUCAACAGCUUUUUUGACAACACACAUUUGGUGACCAGGACUUCCUGAAAAGAUUCCAGCAGUCCUAAGAAAGCAAGAACCUUUGGUUUCUUCAAUUCUGGAAAACAAUUCCUUUUCCUCCUCCAGUCAGCAUCACAUCUGAGUGUUUCUGUUGGAGCAUCAUGGAGUUCAGCUUGUUACAUGAGAUCUGCACUUUCCAAUCAACACACUUGGUUCUUCCUCACGAUUGUGAUAAAACAACUUAAAGCCUUAUUUGCUGUUUACCUUGAUUAUGGUAACAAACUACAAUAUUUUGUCAUGAUACCUGACUUUCCUGCAGUGGUUGGGUUUUUUUUUUAAGUCAGAAACAAGUUAUUUGCUCCACCCAGCA